CAGGGAUUGCCCUAGUAACGGCGAGUGAAGCGGCAACAGCUCAAAUUUGAAAUCUGGCCCUCGGGUCCGAGUUGUAAUUUGUAGAGGAUGCUUUUGGCGCGGUGCCUUCCGAGUUCCCUGGAACGGGACGCCUUAGAGGGUGAGAGCCCCGUACGGUUGGACACCAAGCCUCUGUAAAGCUCCUUCGACGAGUCGAGUAGUUUGGGAAUGCUGCUCUAAAUGGGAGGUAAAUUUCUUCUAAAGCUAAAUAUUGGCCAGAGACCGAUAGCGCACAAGUAGAGUGAUCGAAAGAUGAAAAGCACUUUGAAAAGAGGGUUAAAUAGCACGUGAAAUUGUUGAAAGGGAAGCGUUUGCGACCAGACCUUUUCCUAGCGGAUCAUCUGGUGUUCUUCACCGGUGCACUUCGCUAGGUCGAGGCCAGCAUCGGUUUCUGUAGGGGGAUAAAAGCUUAGGGAACGUAGCUCCUUCGGGAGUGUUAUAGCCCUCUGCAUAAUACUCUUACGGGGACCGAGGACCGCGCUUUUUGCAAGGAUGCUGGCGUAAUGGUCGUCAACGACCCGUCUUGAAACACGGACCAAGGAGUCGAACAUUUGUGCGAGUGUUUGGGUGUUAAACCCUCACGCGUAAUGAAAGUGAACGGAGGUGAGAGCCCUUACGGGUGCAUCAUCGACCGAUCCUGAUGUCUUCGGAUGGAUUUGAGUAAGAGCAUAACUGUUCGGACCCGAAAGAUGGUGAACUAUGCGUGGAUAGGGUGAAGCCAGAGGAAACUCUGGUGGAGGCUCGCAGCGGUUCUGACGUGCAAAUCGAUCGUCAAAUCUGCGCAUGGGGGCGAAAGAU
rnacentral:rRNA from 1 species